AAAGAUUAAGCCAUGCAUGUCUAAGUUCAUAUUGCCUUUAAUGGUGAAACCGCGAACGGCUCAUUACAACAGCUAUUAUUUACUUGAUUUUGAUUCCAUACGUGGAUAACUGUGGCAAUUCUAGAGCUAAUACAUGCACCAAAGCUCCGACUAUCAUUUUGACGAGCGCAUCUAUUAGAUUAAAAACCAAUCGGGACUGUGUGUAGCGUGAUGACACGAGACUAUUGUUUUCUCCCAUCACGCGCCUUGUCUCGUUCAUUUGGUGACUCUGAAUAGCUUAGCUGAUCACAUGGUCUCGUACCGGCGACGUAUCUAUCAAGUAUCUGCCUUAUCAACUUUCGAUGGUAGUUUAUAUGACUACCAUGGUUGUAACGGGUAACGGAGAAUAAGGGUUCGACUCCGGAGAGGGAGCCUGAGAAACGGCUACCACUUCCAAGGAAGGCAGCAGGCGCGCAAAUUACCCACUCUCAGCACAGAGGAGGUAGUGACGAAAAAUAACGAGACCGUACUCGAUGAGGCCGGUUAUCGGAAUGGGUACAAUUUAAACCCGUUAACGAGGAUCUAUGAGAGGGCAAGUCUGGUGCCAGCAGCCGCGGUAAUUCCAGCUCUCAAAGUGUAUAUCGGCAUUGCUGCGGUUAAAAAGCUCGUAGUUGGACUUCAGCCUUACGACGUGGUCCAUUCAUUGAAUGCGAACUACGCCUCGUAGGCUAGUUGCUAAUGUUGGUUUUUCCUUACGUCGCUCUUAUCGGUUGCGUAAGGUGGCUAACGAGUUUACCUUGAAAAAAUUAGAGUGCUCAACGCGGGCUAACGCGCCUGAAUACUCGUGCAUGGAAUAAUGGAAUAGGAUCUCGGUUCUAUUUUGUUGGUUUUCUGAUCUGAGAUAAUGGUUAAGAGGGACAGACGGGGGCAUUCGUAUCGCUGCGUGAGAGGUGAAAUUCUUGGACCGUAGCGAGACGUCCCACUGCAAAGCAUUUGCCAAGAAUG
rnacentral:rRNA from 2 species